AUUUUCGGAUAAUCGCAGUUUACGUUAAGUAAGGUGAGGAAAGUCCAUGCUCGCACAAACUGAGAUGUUUGUAGUGUUCGUGCUUAAUGAAACCAUAAAUUAAGGUACUUCUUUUUAAGAGGUAACGGCAGGAAAAAUAGCUAAGGCUUUUGCUAUGCUAGAGUAUCCUUGAAAGUGCCACAGUGACGAAGUGAUUUUAGAAAUAAAAUCAGUGGAACGGGUAAACCCCUCGAGCGAGCAACCCAAACAAUGGUAGGGGCACCUGUCUCAAGGAAAUGAACUUAGGGAUGGGACAGAAAAAAUUUCUGUAGACAGAUGAUUAUCGUUGAUUAGUGUUACCUGGCAGUAAUCAAUACAGAACAUGGCUUAUAGAA
rnacentral:RNase_P_RNA from 1 species